rnacentral:rRNA from 1 species
UACGUAGGUGGCAAGCGUUAUCCGGAUUUAUUGGGCGUAAAGCGAGCGCAGGCGGUUGCUUAGGUCUGAUGUGAAAGCCUUCGGCUUAACCGAAGAAGUGCAUCGGAAACCGGGCGACUUGAGUGCAGAAGAGGACAGUGGAACUCCAUGUGUAGCGGUGGAAUGCUUAGAUAUCACGAAGAACCCCGAUUGCGAAGGCAGCCUGCCGCAGCGUUACUGACGCUGAAGCUCGAAAGCGCGGGUAUCGAACAGG